rnacentral:ribozyme from 11 species
GAAAAAAAAAAAAAAAAAAAAGGAAUGAAAAUGCACAACGAAAUGUAAACAAGAAUAUCAAUAUGUACG